AAGCGUUGUUCGGAAUUAUUGGGCGUAAAGCGCGUGUAGGCGGUUUUUUAAGUCUGAUGUGAAAGCCCCGGGCUCAACCUGGGAAGUGCAUUGGAAACUGGGAGACUUGAAUACGGGAGAGGGCAGUGGAAUUCCUGGUGUAGGAGUGAAAUCCGUAGAUAUCAGGAGGAACACCGGUGGCGAAGGCGGCUGCCUGGACCGAUAUUGACGCUGAGACGCGAAAGCGUGGGUAGCAAACAGGAUUAGAUACCCUGGUAGUCCACGCCGUAAACGAUGAGAACUAGGUGUUGCGGGUAUUGACCCCUGCAGUGCC
rnacentral:rRNA from 1 species